rnacentral:lncRNA from 1 species
GACCUCAGCCAAAGGCCUUAAAACUUAACUCAGUGGCAGUGCUGAGCGAUCAGUGGUGCUUGCAGUCUGUUUUCUCCCAGCAGUUUGGGGAAGACAGUAAUGUGAAUUCCCCCAUCUACUCUUGUUUACUUUUAUCUCCCUUGUCACUUUUAAUAUGGAGGAUUUAUGUGGAGAAUUCUGUGUUAUUACUUUGAAAUUGAUCUUCAGAAAGAUAAAGCAAAAUCAUUUGGGGGCUGCUAAAGUUUUAUUACAAAACAGAAAGUGUCUCCAGCAAACCGUGUUGCAGAAGCCCUCUUUUCGCUUACCUUGCUGAUCAGCCAACUUUUGUAAAUCAACAGAUCUGAUAAAGGGUAUGGAACUGCUCAGUAACAGGACUGGGAAGGACAACUGUGCCAAUAAUAUUUGCCUUCAAACAGCUUAAAAGCUAAGCUGAAAUAUGGUAUUAGUUUAAAACAUUUCAGGAACAUUCUUUAUAUAAGAUACUUUGACAGUAUCAUGGGGAUGUUUUAAACACUUUUUUAAAUUGUUCAAGAAACAGGCUCAACAAAUGUCCUCGUGCCCUUCCUGAAUCUUUCCUUCUUCCUGAGCCUAAUCGCGUGGUUUUGGAGCUGAAAUUCCUCAUAAAGCCCCAGUGAGCCAUCAUAGCUACUGAAAGUCAAAGUUGGAAAUAUUUUUACUGACAUGAAGACAACAUUUCUAUGAAGUGAAAGGCUGCAUGCUAAUUUCUCUGCGAUGCCUUGUUUGUUGCUCUGUGUAAUUCUGUCUCAAAGGAUAAAGUGGGAUGCUUCAUGGCCAGGGAAAGAAAAGGCACUACCUGAUGAGACGACAGUCAUCAUUCUGCUUCUGUAUCGCAAGCUGCUGCUUAUCUAGAGGUUAGCAAAGAAAUAAUUUCAAAAUAACAACUUUUUAAAAUAGAAUAGGUAGUCUAAGUUAUAUUUGAUGCAUCACAUUGACUCUGAGAAUGAAAUUUUCUACAGGCAGUAGAUUUAUUCUCCUCCCAUAAGAGUUGUGAUACUCUGUGAAGACAAGAGAAGAUGGAAGGGAAGGCUGUGGAGACAUCCCUAAAGUAUCCAUCAGAAGGAGAAAGCUGAUAAGGCCACACUUUGAGAGCCUGAGUUUAUACCUAAAGACACUGGUGCAAAUGCCAAGAGAAUUGAUCAGCUUAGAAAUUAAUUUCCAAAUGGAAUUUUACAAACAAAGUGAAUUCCUCAACUCUUUUGACUGGAUGAGUUUUAAAUUAUCAAUGACUAUCCCAUGUCAAUAGUGAUGAUUUUGAGCUAAUAUAUAUUCCUCUACCCCUGGUUUGUGGGGUCUUGGUCUGUAAUGGAUGGGUGUUUGUUUAUGUUUGUAUUUCACAGUUGUGUCUUAGACUGUCCCAUUCAUUCCAGUCUCUCUGUGUUGUCAUU